rnacentral:rRNA from 1 species
UAGAGUGUAAAGGCAUAAGGGAGCUUGACUGCGAGACCUACAAGUCGAGCAGGGUCGAAAGACGGACUUAGUGAUCCGGUGGUUCCGCAUGGAAGGGCCAUCGCUCAACGGAUAAAAGCUACCCCGGGGAUAACAGGCUUAUCUCCCCCAAGAGUUCACAUCGACGGGGAGGUUUGGCACCUCGAUGUCGGCUCAUCGCAUCCUGGGGCUGUAGUUGGUCCCAAGGGUUGGGCUGUUCGCCCAUUAAAGCGGUACGCUAGCUGGGUUCAGAACGUCGUGAGACAGUUCGGUCCCUAUCCGUCGUGGGCGUAGGAAAUUUGAGAGGAGCUGUCCUUAGUACGAGAGGACCGGGAUGGACAUACCUCUGGUGUACCAGUUGUC